rnacentral:rRNA from 1 species
AGCGAACGCUGGCGGCAGGCUUAACACAUGCAAGUCGAGCGGGCAUAGCAAUAUGUCAGCGGCAGACGGGUGAGUAACGCGUGGGAACGUACCUUUUGGUUCGGAACAACACAGGGAAACUUGUGCUAAUACCGGAUAAGCCCUUACGGGGAGAGAUUUAUCGCCGAAAGAUCGGCCCGCGUCUGAUUAGCUAGUUGGUGAGGUAAUGGCUCACCAAGGCGACGAUCAGUAGCUGGUCUGAGAGGAUGAUCAGCCACAUUGGGACUGAGACACGGCCCAAACUCCUACGGGAGGCAGCAGUGGGGAAUAUUGGACAAUGGGCGCAAGCCUGAUCCAGCCAUGCCGCGUGAGUGAUGAAGGCCCUAGGGUUGUAAAGCUCUUUUGUGCGGGAAGAUAAUGACGGUACCGCAAGAAUAAGCCCCGGCUAACUUCGUGCCAGCAGCCGCGGUAAUACGAAGGGGGCUAGCGUUGCUCGGAAUCACUGGGCGUAAAGGGUGCGUAGGCGGGUCUUUAAGUCAGGGGUGAAAUCCUGGAGCUCAACUCCAGAACUGCCUUUGAUACUGAAGAUCUUGAGUUCGGGAGAGGUGAGUGGAACUGCGAGUGUAGAGGUGAAAUUCGUAGAUAUUCGCAAGAACACCAGUGGCGAAGGCGGCUCACUGGCCCGAUACUGACGCUGAGGCACGAAAGCGUGGGGAGCAAACAGG